CUCUGCACAGGUUUUGAUAAAUCUCCCCCAAUAAGUAUAGGACCGAGAUUUGUGCUGCUCACAGAGGUUUAUCAAGCUUGAAUACGAUUGUAGAAAACUCGUUAUAUUUGUAUAUGUAUUCCCUGACAACAAACAGGAGACUUACAAAUGGAAAAACAAUAAAAAGCUAAAUAUAUCAGAAUGUUGAAUCAUUUUUUUGUAUGAAACCAUGGAAAAUAUAAUAAACGGGACCCCUGAGCAAAGGUCAUGUGACCGAAACACGUGUAGGGGUGGCGGCAUACUGGGUCUUCCAGCAUUGUGGACCGAGCGUUCAAAAUAAUUUCUUAUGGAAGGACUAAGGAACCUUAGUCUGAAACUGCUCAAAUUUGAAAGUCACCUUAUAGCACCAAUGGUAUCUGAAAAAAAUAACAGGCUGACAUACAUUCGGAACAUGUCCUACAAAAGGCAAUGGCUUAACUGAGGUAAUUACACCAAAAUAACUACAACUAUGGAAAGCCCUCAGUGUUUCUUCUCAUUGGUUUCUGACUGUGAGACUUGUGAUUCCGAUGGACAAUAGGAGAAGAAGCAGCAUACAGAUCAUUCUUACGCCUCAUCUCCGAAAAUACAUAAAGACAACAGAAGAAGGACAUAAUCCUCUUAAUCCAACAUAAUCUCAUGAACACCCCUACUGUUUAGGAUUGUGAUGUUAUGGACAUAAAUCUCUCUCUCUCUUUACAUCUGAAGAAUAGAAAUACAAUUGCUUUAUUCUAGAAUAAAUGAAACAUGUAUUUUCCGUAACCAUGUUUUAUUAUUACUUAAUUUAAGAUUCUAUACAUCAUAGAAUUAGAGUGAGAUAGUUACAUAGGGGUAGAAGUUCUUAUGACCUCUAUGGUAAUGGUUGAAUAGAAACAACUACAAUAUAGUAAUCAACACAGCCUAUAUGUCUAUGUAUAAGGAAAUACUUGGAAACAAAGGGGUCAUUCACACCACGCUUUGGCCUCACGUUAAAGGUAUACAUUGACAACCUGUCAAAAAAGCAAGCCAACAUACAGUAUUCCGAAAAGUCCUUUUUAUGGCCCGUUUACUUUACGUAUUCUACUAGUGAUUAUUUUUUGUCAUUUCCAAACAUGCAGUUUGUGUAGAGU